UACGUAGGGGGCAAGCGUUGUCCGGAAUUAUUGGGCGUAAAGCGCGUGUAGGCGGCUCGGUAAGUCUGCUGUGAAAGUCCAAGGCUCAACCUUGGAAAGCCGGUGGAUACUGUCGAGCUCGAGUCCGGAAGAGGCGAGUGGAAUUCCUGGUGUAGCGGUGAAAUGCGCAGAUAUCAGGAAGAACACCCGUGGCGAAGGCGGCUCUCUGGUACGUGACUGACGCUGAGACGCGAAAGCGUGGGGAGCGAACAGG
rnacentral:rRNA from 1 species